rnacentral:lncRNA from 1 species
GCAGCCAUGGUGCCCGAGGUGCCCGGCGCGGUCCUGACCCUCUGCCUCUGGCUGGAGGCCUCGGAGGGCUGCCUGGCGGCCGGCCCCGGAGCAGCUGCUGCUCAGCUGCUGGACGAGUCGCUGUCUGCCGGGAGCGUCCUGCGCGCCCGCUGCGCCUCCAGGUGCCUAAGCUUGCCAAUCAUACGCAUCUCUGCCUUCUUCCAGCACUUCCAGGUGCCCACCUGUUCCAAGUUUCCACCGUCUCGCCUCAGGGAAAUUCUGGGGGGACCAAAAGGAGAGGGUCACCCCACACCUCCAACUCCUGCAAAUGAGCCCAUCCAGAAAGCUGUCUCUGGAGCACAUGCCUGUUUCCAUCUUCUCUUGCACAGUUUCAGGCCAUGUUUAAGGAUGGGAGAAGAUUGCCUGGCCUCCAGCCUGGAUGCCAGCCAGAACAGUGGUUCCCUGCUUUGGUGCCAGAAUCACAAGUGAUGUUCUAAGGUGAAGAAUUAUGAACUGAGUUGAUUUCAUUAUAUAUGAUGCAAACUAAGUCUUUGUGAUUUCCAAGUUACCAAGCAGGAAACAAAUAUUUCUACUUGGAAAUCUCAGCCCUGAGGCAGUGGCCAGUGAUUUUGGAGAACUAUGAAUGCUUUACCAGUUGUGAGUUCCUCAAAUACACCCUGUUGGUGAAGCAGGGGGACUGUCCAGCUCCU